UACGGGGGGGGUAAGCGUUGUUCGGAAUUACUGGGCGUAAAGCGUGCGCAGGCGGUUUUGUAAGUCAGAUGUGAAAUCCCCGGGCUUAACCUGGGAACUGCGUUUGAAACUACAAGGCUAGAGUGUGGCAGAGGGGGGUGGAAUUCCACGUGUAGCAGUGAAAUGCGUAGAGAUGUGGAGGAAUACCGAUGGCGAAGGCAGCCCCCUGGGAUGACACUGACGCUCAUGCACGAAAGCGUGGGGAGCAAACAGG
rnacentral:rRNA from 1 species